rnacentral:misc_RNA from 1 species
UCCGGUUUGGCACCGGCAGUCUUCCUAGAGUCCCCGCCAUUACGCGCUGGCAACUAAGGACAAGGGUUGCGCUCGUUGCGGGACUUAACCCAACAUCUCACCACACGAGCUGACGACAGCCAUGCAGCACCUGUCUUCCUGCUGUAUUGCUACAGAAGCCGUAUCUCUACGGUUGUCAGGAGAUGUCAAAUCCAGGUAAGGUUCUUCGCGUUGCUUCGAAUUAAACCACAUGAUCCACCGCUUGUGCGGGCCCCCGUCAAUUCCUUUGAGUUUUAAUCUUGCGACCGUACUCCCCAGGCGGACAACUUCACGCGUUAGCUGCGGUACUGAGAAAUCGCUUCCCCAACACCUAGUUGUCAUCGUUCAGGGCAUGGACUAC